GUCAAAAAGGAGCGGAGAUUUGAAGGAUGAAUAGGAAGAGAAGAGGAAACAAAUGUCUUCAAGAACAGAGAAUAAACAUGCAAGAGCUUAACAAUUAGAGAGGUGUGGUGUAUUUUAAGAACAUCGAGGACACAGUACAUCAUGGACAUGAUGGAAGAGUUUUAAUGGUGAUGGUGGUGGAGUGGGAUCUUGCAACACAAUUAGAUCUGCAUGUUACAAAAGAACUACAGAAGCCAGACUGCAGACUUCUGACUCUAGAGGCAGGAAGGAAUCUUUAUGACAGAAAUAAGGGUGCAAGGGAGAUUGGUUCAAGAUGGUGGAAUAGAAGGACAUGCGCUCACUCCUUCUUGUGAGACACCAGAAUCACAACUAACUGCUGAACAAUCAUCGAGAGGAGGACACUGGAACUCACCAAAAAAGAUACCCCACAUCCAAAGACAAAGGAAAAGCCACAGUGAGACAGUAGGAGGGGUACAGUCACAAUAAAAUCAAAUCCCAUAACUGCUGGGUGGGUGACUCACAAACUGGAGAACACUUAAACCACAGAAGUCCACCCACUGGAGUGAAGGUUCUGAGCCCCACGUCAGGCUUCCCAACCAGGGGGUCCAGCAGCAGGAGGAGGAAUUCCUAGAGAAUCAGACUUUGAAGGCUAGCUGGAUUUGAUUACAGGACUUGGACAGGACUGGGGGAAACAGAGACUUCACUCUUGGAGGGCACACACAGGGUAGUGUGUGCAUUGGGAUCCAGGGGAAGGAGCAGUGAUCCCACAGGAGACUGAACAAGACCUACCUGCUAGUGUUGGAGGGUCUCCUGCAGAGGCGGGGGGUGGCUGUGGCUCACCGUGAGGACAAGGACACUGGCAGCAGAAGUUCUGGGAAGUACUCCUUGGCAUGAGCCCUCCCAGAGUCCGCCAUUAGCACCACCAAAGAGCUGGGUAGGCUCCGGUGUUGGGUCGCUUCAGGCCAAACAACCAACAGGGAGGGAACCCAGCCCCACCCAUCAGCAGACAAGCAGAUUAAAGUUUUACUGAGCUCUGCUCACCAGAGCAACAGCUGGCUCUAGCUACCAUCAGUCCCUCCCAUCAGGAAACUUGCACAAGCCUCUUAGAUAGCCUCAUCCACCAGAGGGCUGACAGCAGAAGCAAGAAGAACUACAAUCCUGCAGCCUGUGGAACAAAAACCACUUCCACAGAAAGAUAGACAAGAUGAAAAGGCAGAGGGCUAUGUACCAGAUGAAGGAACAAGAUAAAGUGCCAGAAAAACAACUAAAUGAAGAGGAGAUAGGCAACCUUCCAGAAAAAUAAUUCAGAAUAAUGAUAGUGAGGAUGAUCCAGGACCUCGGAAAAAGAAUGGAGGCAAAGAUGGAGAAGAUGCAAGAAAGGUUUAGCAAAGACCUAGAAGAAUUAAAGAACAAACACCUAGAAGAAUUAAAGAACAAACAAAGAGAGAUGAACAAUGAAAUGAAAAAUACACUACAAGGAAUCAGUAGCAGAAUAACUGAGGCAGAAGAAGGGAUAAGUGACCUGGAAGACAGAAUGGUGGAAUUCACUGCCGCAGAACAGAAUAAAGAAAAAAGAAUGAAAAGAAAUGAAGACAGUCACAGAGACCUCUGGGACAACAUUAAAUGCAACAACAUUCGCAUGCUAGGGGUCCCAGAAGGAGAAGAGAGAGAGAAAGGACCAGAGAAAAUAUUUGAGGGGAUUAUAGUCGAAAACUUCCCUAACAUGGGAAGGGAAAUAGCGACCCAAGUCUAGGAAGUGCAGAGAGUCUCAGGCAGGAUAAACCCAAGGAGAAACAUGCCGAGACACACAGUAAUCAAAUUGGCAAAAAUUAAAGACAAAGAAAAAUUACUGAAAGCAACAAGGGAAAAGCGACAAAUAAUAUACAAGGGAACUCCCAUAAGGUUAACAGCUGAUUUCUCAGCAGAAACUCUACAAGCCAGAAGGGAGUGGUAUGAUAUAUUUAAAGUGAUGAAAGGGAAGAACCUACAACCAAGAUUACUCUACCUGGCAAGGAUCUCAUUCAGAUUUGACAGAGAAAUCAAAACCUUUACAUACAAGCAAAGGCUAAGAGAAUUCAGCACCAACAAACCAGCUCUACAACAAAUGCUAAAGGAACUUCUCUAGGCAGGAAACACAAGAGAAGGAAAAGACCUACAAAGACA